rnacentral:rRNA from 1 species
UACGGAGGGGGCUAGCGUUAUUCGGAAUUACUGGGCGUAAAGCGCACGUAGGCGGAUGAGAAAGUCAGAGGUGAAAUCCCAGGGCUCAACCUUGGAACUGCCUUUGAAACUCCUUGUCUUGAGGUCGUGAGAGGUGAGUGGAAUUCCGAGUGUAGAGGUGAAAUUCGUAGAUAUUCGGAGGAACACCAGUGGCGAAGGCGGCUCACUGGCACGAUACUGACGCUGAGGUGCGAAAGCGUGGGGAGCAAACAGG